rnacentral:misc_RNA from 1 species
AACGCAUAUUGCGCCCAACGCUUCGGCUUAGGGCAUGUCUGUUCGAGCGUCAUUACAACCCUCAAGCUCUGCUUGGUAUUGGGCACCACCCGUCAGGGUGUGCCUUAAACCUAGUGGCGGCGCCAUCUGGCUCUAAGCGUAGUAAUUCUCUCGCUAUAGGGUCCUGUGGAUGCUUGCCAGCAACCCCAAUUUUAUCUAUGGUUGACCUCGGAUCAGGUAGGGAUACCCGCUGAACUUAA